GUGCUUGCUUUGGCAGCACAAGUACUAGAGUUGGAAUGAUACAGACAGGAUUAGCAUGAGCCCUGUGCUGGGAUGGCACACAAAUUUAUGAAGUGAUCCACAUGUUA